rnacentral:lncRNA from 1 species
GUUUAUUUGGCUCACAGUUCUGCAGACUGUACAAGCAUGGCUCCAGCAUCUGCUUGGCCUCUAGUGAGGCCUCAGGAAGUUUUUACUCAUGGCAGAAGGGGAAGGGGAGCAGGUGUGCCACAUGGUGUGAAAGGGAGCAAGAGACACUGCCAGGCAUUUUUUUUUAAUUUACUUUAAGUUCUGGGAUACAUGUGCGGAACAUGCAGGUUUGUUACAUAGGUAUACAUGUGCCAUGGUGGUUUGCUGCACCUAUCAACCCAUCACCUAGGUUUUAAGCCCACAUGCAUUAGGUAUUUGUCCUAAUGCUCUCCCUCCCCUUGCCCCCCACCCUACAACAGGCCACAACUCCCCUCCCUGUGUCCAUGUGUUCUCAUUGUUCAACUCCCAUUUAUGAGUGAGAACAUGCAGUGUUUGGUUUUCUGUUCCUGUGUUAGUUUGCUGAGAAUGAUGGCUUCCAGCUUCAUCCAUGUCCCUGCAAAGGACAUGAACUCAUUCUUUUUUAUGGCUGCAUAGUAUUCCAUGGUGUAUAUGUGCUACAUUUUCUUUAUCCAGUCUGUUAUUGAUGGGCAUUUGGGUUGGUUCCAAGUCUUUGCUACUGUAAAUAGUGCUGCAAUAAACAUAUGUGUGCAUGUGUCUUUAUAGCAGAAUGAUUUAUAAUCCUUUGGGUAUAUACCCAGUAAUUGGAUUGCUGGAUCAAAUAGUAUUUCUAGUUCUAGAUCCUUGAGGAAUCACCACACUGUCUUCCACGAUGGUUGAACUAAUUUACACUCCCACCAACAAUGUUUGGCCAGGCAUUUUUAAACAACCAGCUCUUGUGUGAACAAAUAGAGCAAGAACUCACUCAUUACGACAGGGAGGCCACCAAGCCAUUCAUAAGGAGUCUGUCCCCAUGACCCAAACACCACCCACCAGGCCCUACUGCCAACACUGGGGAUCACAUUUCAGCUUGAGAUUUUCAGGGGACAAGUAUUAUAUCAAAUGGUUCUUUUCAUCCUUCUGUUCAUCUAUUCAACUAGCCAACCAGCCAGUAAUCUGUUUUUUCAUUUGCUCAUUCAUUCAUCCAUGUGUUCAUUCAACAAACAUGAAAACCAUUUGAUGCAUAUGGCUGGCUAUGGCUCAGAGGGGUUUGGGAAGACUCUGACCUACUGCUUGUAGGACCUCAUAGGCAGGAAUUUGGUCAGAAUCUGAUUCAUAAGUUUGUAGGUCUAAAAACUAAUUUUUUUUUUCACCUGCCCAGAGGUUCUGGGGGGACUCAUUCAGUUUGUUUCUUUGUUUGUUUGUUUUGUCUUUUGUUUUUUCUUUUUGAGGCAAGGUCUUGCUCUGUCACCUAGGCUGGAGUACAGCGGCGUAAUCUGGGCUCACUGUAGCCUCUACCUCUUGGGUUCAAGUGAUUCUCCUGCCUCAGCCUCCUGAGUAGCUGGGAUUACAGGCAUGUGCCAUGAUGCCCAGCUAAUUUUUAUAUUUUUUCAGUAGAGACAGGGUUUCGCCAUGUUGGCCAGGCUGGUCUUGAACUCCUGACCUCAAACGAUCCAUCCAUCUUGGCCUCCCAAAGUGCUAGGAUUACAGGCAUGAGCCACUGCACCUGGCCCUCAUUCAUUUUUUAAUGAGGUCAUAAGACUGAUUUAGAAACCCAAAGACCAAAAAUCAAUUAUACCCCAAGCUUGGCUGGGUGGGAUAACCAAUACCAGUGUCCCCUCCUGCACAAAUUAAAGUCCAGAAGAGGGAUGCCUACUCAAGACAAUUCAAUAGAUUUUUUUCUCCUCAUGCCAAUGUGAAAGGCAAAUAAAUCUCAGGACCCCCAAAUCACUAAGCCAAAGGGAAAAAUCAAGCUGGGAACUGCAUCAGGCACACCUGCCUCUCAUUCUAUUCCUAAAUAAGACAGUUACAAAGAUUUUUAAAAAUCUUCAUAUCUCCCUCACAAUUUGCCUACUAGGAAGUUCCUUGUGGGCCUCAAGAUCUUUACACUAAAACAGUUCUGUUGAAUUUCACUCUGGCAAUGUAAAUUGAUAGCUUAUCUUCACAGGUGCAGGACAAAGGACAGAACUCAAAGUCAUCCCUCGGCUCAUCUGAAACAAAUGCACAUCUGAUUGCUUCCUCUGCCCUAUUGUUUGUGUAAAAAUGCAGAUUCACCCAGCCAGACCAAGGCAUAAGUGACUACUCCGCUACCCCACCUCUCCUUGAAGAAAGCUGCCUUUCAUAUGGCCACAAUCUAAAGUUCUGAAGGAUUCCAGUGAUUUUGCAACCUGCAGGUUGCAAAAUCACUGGAAUCCUUCAGAACUUUAGAUUGAAAGGCAGCUU